rnacentral:rRNA from 1 species
CCUACGGGUGGCUGCAGUGGGGGAUAUUGCACAAUGGGGGAAACCCUGAUGCAGCGACGCCGCGUGAGCGAUGAAGUAUUUCGGUAUGUAAAGCUCUAUCAGUAGGGAAGAAAAUGACGGUACCUGACUAAUAAGCACCGGCUAACUACGUGCCAGCAGCCGCGGUAAUACGUAGGGGGCAAGCGUUAUCCGGAUUUACUGGGUGUAAAGGGAGCGUAGGCGGGAGUGCAAGUCAGAAGUGAAAGGCAAGGGCUCAACCCUUGGACUGCUUUUGAAACUGUGCUGCUGGAGUAUCGGAGAGGCAAGUGGAAUUCCUGGUGUAGCGGUGAAAUGCGUAGAUAUUAAGAGGAACACCAGUGGCGAAGGCGACUUGCUAGACGAUAACUGACGUUGAGGCUCGAAAGCGUGGGGAGCAAACAGGAUUAGAUACCCGAGUAGUC